AACGAACGCUGGCGGCAGGCUUAACACAUGCAAGUCGAACGCGUGUAGCAAUACACGAGUGGCGCACGGGUGAGUAACGCGUGGAUAUCUGCCUUUGGUUCGGAAUAACCCCGGGAAACUGGGGCUAAUACCGGAUGGUUCCUUCGGGAUAAAGAUUUAUCGCCAAAAGAUGAGUCCGCGUACGAUUAGCUAGUUGGUGAGGUAAUGGCUCACCAAGGCGACGAUCGUUAGCUGGUCUGAGAGGACGAUCAGCCACACUGGGACUGAGACACGGCCCAGACUCCUACGGGAGGCAGCAGUGGGGAAUAUUGGACAAUGGGGGCAACCCUGAUCCAGCCAUGCCGCGUGAGUGAUGAAGGCCUUCGGGUUGUAAAGCUCUUUUGGCGGGGACGAUGAUGACGGUACCCGCAGAAUAAGCCCCGGCUAACUUCGUGCCAGCAGCCGCGGUAAGACGAAGGGGGCUAGCGUUGUUCGGAAUUACUGGGCGUAAAGCGCGUGUAGGCGGUUUUCCAAGUUGGGUGUGAAAGCCUUGGGCUUAACCCAAGAAAUGCACUCAGUACUGGAAGACUAGAGGACCGGAGAGGAUAGUGGAAUUCCCAGUGUAGUGGUGAAAUACGUAGAGAUUGGGAAGAACACCAGUGGCGAAGGCGGC
rnacentral:rRNA from 1 species